rnacentral:rRNA from 1 species
UACGUAGGGGGCAAGCGUUGUCCGGAUUUAUUGGGCGUAAAGAGCGUGUAGGCGGCUUGGUAGGUCCGCUGUGAAAACUCGAGGCUCAACCUCGAGAUGUCGGCGGAAACCCCCUGGCUAGAGUCCGGAAGAGGAGAGUGGAAUUCCCGGUGUAGCGGUGAAAUGCGCAGAUAUCGGGAAGAACACCUAUGGCGAAGGCAGCUCUCUGGGACGGUACUGACGCUGAGACGCGAAAGCGUGGGGAGCGAACAGG